AAAGUCGUAACAAGGUUUCCGUAGGUGAACCUGCGGAAGGAUCAUUAUUGAAUGAAUGUAGAGUCGGUUGUUGCUGGCCCUUUUGGGGCAUGUGCACACCUUCUCUUUCAUCCACACACACCUGUGCACUUGUGAGAUGGAAGCCCCCUAGGGGGUGUCCAUCUGCUCUACAUAAACUCAUAAACAUAUAAAUCGAAUGUAAUUGAUGUAACACAUCUUUAAACUAAGUUUCAACAACGGAUCUCUUGGCUCUC
rnacentral:misc_RNA from 1 species